GAAAAAUAUGGAGCAAGUUUAGUGUGAGAGAGAAGUGUAGACACAGAGUGAGCCGAGAGUUCCAGGGAGCUGAAGCUUGAUGGUCCAAUGAUGAUUUAAUUAUUUUACAGCUUUCAGGUACCGUGAAUUGCUAGUGGCGGGCUUAGAUGGAAGAGUUGGCGUUGAGGAUUAUUUAAUUUAUUUAGAGAUGAUGUAUAUUUUAUUUGUUUUUGAGGAAUUGAUUGUGUACCAAUAAAGUGUAUUUAUUUCUUUUGA